AGUGAACGCUGGCGGUAUGCCUAACACAUGCAAGUCGAACGGCAGCACAGUAAGCGCUUGCUCUUACGGGUGGCGAGUGGCGGACGGGUGAGGAAUACAUCGCAAUCUACUUUUUCGUGGGGGAUAACGUAGGGAAACUGACGCUAAUACCGCAUACGACCUACGGGUUAGAUCAGGGGAUCUUCGGACUUUUCGCGAUUGAAUGAGCCGAUGUCGCAUUAGCUUGUUGGCGGGGUAAAGGCACACCAGGGCGACGAUCCGUAGCUGAUCUGAGGGGAUGAUCGGCCACACUGAAACUGAGACACGGUCCAGACCCCUAGGGGAGGCAGCGGUGGGAAAUUUCGGCAAAUGGGCGAAAGCCUGCUCCAGAAAUACGGGGUGGGUGAAGAAGGCCUCCGGGUGGUAAAGCCUUUUUGUAGGGAAAGAAAAGUAUCAGAUUAAUACCCCGCUGUUUGGAGGGUACUAAAAAGAUAAGCACCGGCAACCUUCGU
rnacentral:rRNA from 1 species